rnacentral:rRNA from 1 species
UACAGAGGGUGCGAGCGUUAAUCGGAAUUACUGGGCGUAAAGCGUGCGUAGACGGUUAUUUAAGUCGGGUGUGAAAGCCCCGGGCUCAACCUGGGAACUGCAUUCGAGACUGCAUUGCUAGAGUAUGGGAGAGGGAAGUGGAAUUUCCGGUGUAGCGGUGAAAUGCGUAGAUAUCGGAAGGAACAUCAGUGGCGAAGAGCGACUUCCUGGACCAAUACUGACGCUCAUGUGCGAAAGCGUGGGGAGCAAACAGG